GUGUGAUUGUAUUUCUAUUAGCUAUUCGUGUUUGGGUAUUUUGGUUAGCCGGAGUUCAUGGAAGAGUCACUGCCGCCACGAGCCACCGCCGGCCACCAUGGUGUGGCUGUGUGUGUGUAUGUUAGUUAGGUAGUGGUGUGUGUUCAUUUUGAUUAAAGCAUUGUAACUGUAAUUGCCAAAAGAAUAAUGAAAAGAAAUGGAAAACCACCACCGUAAGGUGGUGGCCACCGUCGUGAGCCGCCAUUGACCACCACUACCUGAGGUGGUCAUGGGUGGUGCCCCUCAAGCAAACCCUAAUGGGCCUAGAAAGACCCUAAUGGGCUUAAAGAUUUAUUUUGGGCCUAUUGGGCCAUGUUUGAGUGGAAACCCUAAUUAGGGUUUAGAAAACCCUAAUUAUGAGAAAUUGGGCCUUAGACUUAAUGGACCCAUCAUUGGGCAAUUGGGAUUGGAGUGUGUAUUAAGCCCAAGUCACUCCAUAUCACAUAUCUAGUAGAGUAGAGGACUUAAUGGAUUAAGUCCUUAAUGGGUUAAGUAAGAAACACUUAACCCUAGUUAUCAUUUUAUGUGAAACCCUAAUUUCACUUGGGCUUUGUGUUGGUCCAUCCAAAAACAAGCAAAUGGACUAGAAUAAUUUAUUGGGCCUUAGGGUAAGGUCCAUAUGAAGGAUUGGGCCCAAUUUGGAAAAUUGGGCCAUAGAUGGGCUGUAGUUUGGGCUUAGAUGGUUGUGUGAUAUUGGGCUCUUAAAAUGAGACAUGUUGGACUGGACUGAUCAAUUGGGCCUUGAGGGAAGUCCAUGUAGAGGCUUGGGCCUAAUUUGGAAAAUUGGGCCAUAUGUUGGGCUUUGAUCCCUAGCUGACUUUGGGCCUAUGGAUUUGGGCCUUGGGCUUGGGUAAGCCAAGCUAGGGGUAAUAAAGUAAUUAUCCAAGUAUGUAUUUAUAGUAUGUGUUAGAAAUCAAUUAUUAAUUGGGUGUCAUUUUGGUGUUGACAAUUCGGGAAUCUGUCAUCCAACAGCUAGGGUUGAGUCUGCGGGACUUUAGCAGUAUGAGAUUAUGUCUACGGGACUUCAGCAGUGUGAGGUGAAUUUCCUUCUAGUAGGAACGGGUCUACGGCCACAAUGUCGGCCCGUUUAGUUAGCAGUCAGUUCCAGACUUCGGUCCGAUGCAGUAGUUUAGGGUGCUUGACGUCUUUGUGAUUCAAGCAUGUCUAUGUGUUAUGAGUUCCGGACUUCAGUCUGAUGCAGUAUGCAGUAUAUGUGUUUAUGCUAGUUGAUAUGAGUUUAUGCUAUGCUAUGUUCAUUUAGUUCCGGACUUCGGUCCGAUGCAGGGGACAAGAUGACAGUCAGUUCCGGACUUCGGUCCGAUGCAGUUAGUUCCGGACUACGGUCCGAUGUAGGGGACAAGGUCCCAUUCAGUUCCAGACUCCGGUCCGAUGCAGUUUCCGUACUUUGUUCCGAUGCAGAGGGCAAGGCCCUGGUUAGUUUCCGGACUUCAGUUCAAUGCGGUUCCGGACUUCGGUCCGAUGAAGUGGGCAAGGCCCAAUAUGUGUUUAUAUGUUAUUGUAUGGUACUCAGUUUUCAAAAGAGGAGCUCGAGAAGAUUGCAGUGCACACACCAUUUGUUCAGCCUGGGAUGUUUAUACUCUGAUAUAUUUGACAGUUGUUAAGAUAUUUUGAGAUACAUAGCUUAUGAUUUUUACAUGAGGUUUAUCGACUAUGGUUUUUAUUGUUAAAUUAAACAAAAUUUUCAGAUUGUA